rnacentral:lncRNA from 1 species
CGCGGAUGCUGUGACAAGGGGCGGGCGAGGGAGGGCUCCGCGUCAGGGGCAGACAGCUCCAGGUGCUGGAGGCUGCCGCGCGGAGAGGUCCGCCCAGCCAGGAUGUGCGUUGUCCUGAGAAUCGAAUUACCCGGAACCCCAGAGCUCACCCUCUCUGAAGGAGAGCAGGUGCCUCCUGAGAGCAGGGCUUCUCUACCUUGGGGCACUAUGAACAUUCUGAGUGGGGCGCCCUGAACGAGUGCCCAGAUGCUUGUGAGGCCCAGAUCUUGGGGUGUGCAGCCAGGAAGGGCUCUGCUAGCUUUCCCACCUCCCUCCUGACCUCUUCUGCCCCUCACUGGACCCAGCCCGUUGGCUUCAGGAUGGGCCCCACGGGACAUGCUUUCAUGGAACCUGAGGAAAGAAUGCACUUACAACAGCGCCGGGAGCACAGAGGCUUCCCACUACCCUUUCCGAGAAGCACGUCUAUUUUCUCUAAUUUAUUCAGUGCCGCUGUGCGUGUGUGGCCUCUCAGUGCCCACUUUGUUCAUCUCUGCUCACUGGGGGAGCCAGGACACGGAUCCAGGUUUUCUGACUCCAGGUCUCAGGCUUGCUCCAUAGCGCCACCUGCUG